CCACGUUUUCUGGCUGCCAUUUUGGACUUGGAGCAGGGAGAAACAGUUUCAGGUGAGUAAUUAACGUUAAUUAAUUUUAAGCACUUGAAAUGAAAAGCUUUUUCUUUUUACAAACAAUGUAUUUCAUUAGUGAUGCAAAUAUGUUUGCGCAGUGGAAGCAUAGUUUUCAUAAAGACUUAUUGUGGCAGGUAAUUAUCAUUUUCACUUUAAAGUUGUAAUGUUGACAUAUACUUAUAUUUAUCUUUGAAAUUUAAAAUUAGAUGUAAGGUUAAAUAUUGAAAUUGAAUAUGAACUAGUGAUUCGGAAUCAAUAACGCAAUCCAAUCAGGACCUCGAAGCAAAUUAUAUAUUAACUUUACGCGGUUAUAUUAGCGUACUUAAUUAAAAUAUGGUUUCAGCAAAAAAUGUCCAGAGUUAAUAUUGAUGGCUUUUUGUUAGGCUAUUGAUAAUGUGGUGUUAUUGUAAUGUUUAAGAGGAAGUGGUUGUACUCCGUAUUAACGAAUUUAAAAUAUUUUUCAUAGUGUUAAACCGGAUUUUUGAUGUGUUUGACUUUUACUACGCUGUACGGCAAUACUGAUUCUAGAACAGUCUGCUGUGUAUGCUCUCGCUGUACUUUGACGUCAUACGCCGUUCAGUCUGCGCAGCGCUCUAUGCAUAUUAUGUAUUUUCAAUCUAUCCGUCGUACCUGUGCCUUGUCGACAUCACACGAAACCCACGUCGUAAUCAACCUCUUUCCAAAGUCUGGAAAAAGCAGUUUACAUUAACAACUUAGAGAUAAAUGCGACUAUCGGACUAUCACGUGGGUUUGUUGUGUGUGUGACCGAAGCGCCAUUUGGAAGGCAUCGUAAAUUCACUGACUACGCAAUAAAUAAGACUACUCGCGAAAAGAAGUCGGAUUUGUUCCUUCAGCUUCGUACUUAAACUUGUAAGCUCUUGUUUAUGGUAUGUACAUGAACAAUUACCAAAACUAUAAAUCUGCUGAAUUCUGUAAACAUUUCACCAAUGACUGGGUAAAGGAUUUAUUUACAUUUUCACCAAACGGUAAUUUUCUGUACAUGUUUUUCUCUGAAGCAUGCUGUGUUCCACGGUGAACACACUACAGUGCUAUUUGCUAUACUUGCUUAAUUAUCAGUAUAUAAAAUUACUGACAAUAUAUUUUGUCUCUGUGUAUCAAUGCACACUAUAGUUAGCACUUUUGUAAUUGUCACCAAAUGACUACUUUGCCUUAAGCAGUAAACCUUAACCCAUUUGGUUUCCGUGGUGAAUGUAAGACAAUAAAGUAUAAAUAAAUUGGAACUAGAUUAUUAUCAUGUGAACAUGAUUUUAAACAGUUUGAAAUUAGUUAAAAAUGCUGAAGAAUAUUACCAUAUUGAGUGCAAUAUAUUGUCAAAUUAGUUUUUUUUCAUGUGUUUUCAAAUACGUUUGUAACUCAUGCAUUUUUUUCUAUUUUCCAGGAUUAUGAAAAUACUUGCCUGAUGGCUUUACUACUGUGAGUUGUCAUUUCUUUAACUGAUGCCCGACUUCAGCUUUUUGAAGUGCCACAGUCUGUCGAGUCCCUUAUUAGUAUUCUGAAGGAGAAACUGCAAUUACAAGGACAGUUCAUCUUGCAAUUUCAGGACCCUGAUUUUGGGAAUGCCCUUUGCAGCCUGACUGACAUCUCGGAACUGCCCAAUGAAAAAGCAGUCUUGCAUAUUCCCGGAACAUCCAUGCAACCACACAGAUGCUUCACUUGAAGAACAAAAACUUUUAUUGAUUGAUGAAACAAAAAAGGCAAGAAGCAACAUGGUGGUCAUACGUGAAAAAAUGGAAUUAACUUUUUCCCUGAGGAGAAAAGAAGUGGUAGAAGAUCAACCAAUGGUUGUAGACUUGCAGCAGAGGUGGCCUGCACUUUUUCUCCAGGAACAGAUUGCUGAGGAAUUCUUCAGAAUCCCGGAUAAAGACCUUCUUGAUGUCUUCAGGGCAGCAAUGGACCGAUUUACACCAAAGCUCUUGAAAGUAUACAGAGCUCGAAAAGCUGCAUUUGGAGAGGAUAUGGAACAGCUCCUAGAAAGACUUGAUGAAAGGAUGACCGAUAUUGUUAAUCACAGAAGGACUACUGCUUUGAAAGGCCUGCCUUUGUUUCUUUGAGUGGACCCAAACAAGCUGUUCAAGACAUGCAAAG